rnacentral:rRNA from 1 species
UACGGGGGGAGCAAGCGUUGUUCGGAUUUACUGGGCGUAAAGGGCGCGUAGGCGGCGCAACAAGUCACUUGUGAAAUCUCCGGGCUUAACUCGGAACGGUCAAGUGAUACUGUUGUGCUAGAGUGCGGAAGGGGCAACUGGAAUUCUCGGUGUAGCGGUGAAAUGCGUAGAUAUCGAGAGGAACACCUGCGGCGAAGGCGGGUUGCUGGGCCGACACUGACGCUGAUGCGCGAAAGCCAGGGGAGCGAACAGG